CGUCAGACCUUUGCCAUCACAUUCAUGCCAGCUGUAAACUGGGUAAAGCUCACAUGCCAGAGGGGGUGGGGCUUGGCAGCACACUGCUGUUUACCCUCACAUGUUUACUUACACAUAAGUAAAAGGAAGACCCCAAUAGGGCUCUGUGUGUAUGGUGUUCCCUCUUGGGUUGCUUACCAGGCCUCCUGAGAUCCCAGGAAUAUUUUUAGAAGACUCUCAAGCUGUUGUGGAAAUGUGAAGGACUGAACUUAAGUGAGGAAAAACGAGGAACUGAAGAAAACUGAGACAGAGAUUCACACAUUCCUAGCUGCCUGAGGAGCGCUGUGUUCUGACAGGUUGUCACCAGCCUCAUCUUUAUCCUGAGGGCUACUACUGUGAAGUACAACUGCUCCCGACAGUCCCUUUCAUCUUGUCUACACAGAGUUAAGGAAGAGGCUGAAAGAUUUCACCGCGAGAAGCAUGUAAAGCCCACUUUAGCAUUAAUGCGACAACCCUGGAAGAAGCGGAAUGAGAAAGCCCCCAAGUGUGGCAUCCGUCGCGGGAGCCUUAAGUUUGUCACAAAACAGGCUGCCUCCACACUUAAUGCCGCACGUCUCCAAAGGGCUUGGUUAUCAUAUCAAGUGUUUGUUUUGUUCCCUCAGCUCGUCUGUGUUUGUUGUGAGGGAAGGAAAGGUGAAGAAGAAAACUCCUCGAACGGCAGAGGAGCCAAAUAAACAUCCUUUUAAAGUA